rnacentral:rRNA from 1 species
AAAGGUAAGCUACUAAGAGCGAAUGGUGGAUGCCUUGACUGGUAAAGGCGAUGAAGGACGUACUAGACUGCGAUAAGCUACGGGGAGCUGUCAAGAAGCUUUGAUCCGUAGAUUUCCGAAUGGGGCAACCCAAUGUAUAGAGAUAUACAUUACCUAUAUAGGAGCGAACGAGGGGAAUUGAAACAUCUUAGUACCCUCAGGAAAAGAAAUCAAUAGAGAUUGCGUCAGUAGCGGCGAGCGAAAGCGCAAGAGGGCAAACCCAGUGCUUGCACUGGGGGUUGUAGGACUGCAAUAUGCAAGAGGUAAGUUUAGCAGAACAUUCUGGAAAGUAUAACCAUAGAGGGUGAUAGUCCCGUAUGCGAAAAACAAACCUUAGCUAGCAGUAUCCUGAGUAGGGCGGGACACGAGGAAUCCUGUCUGAAUCCGGGUCGACCACGAUCCAACCCUAAAUACUAAUACCAGAUCGAUAGUGCACAAGUACCGUGAGGGAAAGGUGAAAAGAACUGAGGUGAUCAGAGUGAAAUAGAACCUGAAACCAU